AGAGUUUGAUCCUGGCUCAGAUUGAACGCUGGCGGAAUGCUUUACACAUGCAAGUCGAACGGUAGAGGGGGCAACCCCUCGAGAGUGGCGAACGGGUGAGUAAUAUAUCGGAACGUGCCCAGUCGUGGGGGAUAACGUAGCGAAAGUUACGCUAAUACCGCAUACGAUCUAAGGAUGAAAGCGGGGGAUCGCAAGACCUCGCGCGAUUGGAGCGGCCGAUAUCAGAUUAGGUAGUUGGUGGGGUAAAGGCUCACCAAGCCAACGAUCUGUAGCUGGUCUGAGAGGACGACCAGCCACACUGGAACUGAGACACGGUCCAGACUCCUACGGGAGGCAGCAGUGGGGAAUUUUGGACAAUGGACGCAAGUCUGAUCCAGCCAUUCCGCGUGCAGGAUGAAGGCCCUCGGGUUGUAAACUGCUUUUGUACGGAACGAAAAGGUUUCUAUUAAUACUAGGAGCUCAUGACGGUACCGUAAGAAUAAGCACCGGCUAACUACGUGCCAGCAGCCGCGGUAAUACGUAGGGUGCAAGCGUUAAUCGGAAUUACUGGGCGUAAAGCGUGCGCAGGCGGUUAUAUAAGACAGAUGUGAAAUCCCCGGGCUCAACCUGGGAACUGCAUUUGUGACUGUAUAGCUAGAGUACGGUAGAGGGGGAUGGAAUUCCGCGUGUAGCAGUGAAAUGCGUAGAUAUGCGGAGGAACACCGAUGGCGAAGCAAUCCCCUGGACCUGUACUGACGCUCAUGCACGAAAGCGUGGGGAGCAAACAGGAUUAGAUACCCUGGUAGUCCACGCCCUAAACG
rnacentral:rRNA from 1 species